rnacentral:piRNA from 1 species
UGCUAAGGUAUUGUGUGUGGGAAGAGC